GGUGGCUCAGUGGUAGAGUGCUUGUCUUGCAAACAUAAGGCCCUGGGUUCGAUUCCCCAGCACCA
rnacentral:tRNA from 1 species